rnacentral:rRNA from 1 species
GAUGAACGCUGGCGGCGUGCCUAAUACAUGCAAGUCGAGCGAACGGACGAGAAGCUUGCUUUUCUGAUGUUAGCGGCGGACGGGUGAGUAACACGUGGAUAACCUACCUAUAAGACGGGGAUAACAUCGGGAAACCGGAGCUACUACCGGAUAAUAUUUUGAACCGCAUGGUUCAAAAGUGAAAGACGGUCUUGCUGUCACUUAUAGAUGGAUCCGCGCUGCAUUAGCUAGUUGGUAAGGUAACGGCUUACCAAGGCAACGAUGCAUAGCCGACCUGAGGGGGUGAUCGGCCACACUGGAACUGAGACACGGUCCAGACUCCUACGGGAGGCAGCAGUAGGGAAUCUUCCGCAAUGGGCGAAAGCCUGACGGAGCAGCGCCGCGUGAGUGAUGAAGGUCUUCGGAUCGUAAAACUCUGUUAUUAGGGAAGAACAUAUGUGUAAGUAACUGUGCACAUCUUGACGGUACCUAAACAGAAAGCCACGGCUAACUACGUG